GGUAAUAUUGAGUCAAUGCAAAGUGUUGUUUCUCUUGCUGUAUCGUCAGCAAAGAUAUUGGCAGGAGAUAUCUCUCUUGAGUGUAGCAGGAUGAAGAAAGAGGCUGAUAUAUCCUGCACCAGAGUUGAAAAUUACAUUACAUCGUCAUUGCAUGCUGUGUUUAUCAAGGCAGGUUCAACCCUUCAAACUCCCUUCCCAAGCACAAACACUCAUUAUCUUUCUUGAGGCUAGUUUUCAUGGAGUUUUCAAGAUUUUUAGACUAACUAUGUUAAGUGUAACUCAAAAGUAAUUAUUAUAAAAUUCAAUAAAUUUAAACACAAUGGGAAAUCAUUUACUCGGAUGAUUUAUUCAUGAUUUAAUGUUGAAUGCUUAUGCAAUUUUUAAACCUAGUUUUGUUUGAAGCAGAAACUGAAUCCACGGAACAGCAAGAAUGCAGCUAGAGAAGAGGAUAAAGUGUUUCCACGUCUCUCAGUUCUUGCACGAGAAGUCAGCGAAGUGGCUUUUGGCGAGAAAGCAAUGUUUAG
rnacentral:lncRNA from 1 species